GAGUUUGAUCCUGGCUCAGAACGAACGCUGGCGGCGCGUUUUAAGCAUGCAAGUCGAGCGGCAGGGGGGCCUCGGUCCCCCGAGAGCGGCGGACGGGUGAGUAACACGUGGACAACCUGCCCCCCGGUUCGGGAUAGCCCAGGGAAACCUGGAUCAAUACCGGAUGCGAGGGCGGCCGCACAAGCGGCCGUCGGGAAAGGCGCUUCGGCGCCGCCGGGGGAUGGCUCCGCGUCCCAUUAGCUAGACGGUGGGGUAACGGCCCACCGUGGCGAUGAUGGGUAGCCGGCCUGAGAGGGUGGACGGCCACAUUGGAACUGAGACACGGUCCAGACUCCUACGGGAGGCAGCAGCUAAGAAUCUUCCGCAAUGGGCGAAAGCCUGACGGAGCGACGCCGCGUGAACGAAGAAGGCCGUGAGGUUGUAAAGUUCUUUUCGGGAGGGGGAACGAGGCUGCCAGGCAAUGGGCGGCCGAUGACGUGAAUCCCGGAAUAAGCCCCGGCUAACUACGUGCCAGCAGCCGCGGUAACACGUAGGGGGCGAGCGUUGUUCGGAAUCAUUGGGCGUAAAGGGCGUGCAGGCGGCCGCCAAAGUCCGGCGUGAAAGACCCAGGCUCAACCUGGGGGGUGCGCCGGAUACUGGGCGGCUUGAGUACAGGAGGGGACGGCGGAAUUCCAGGUGUAGGGGUGAAAUCUGUAGAUAUCUGGAGGAACACCGAUGGCGAAGGCAGCCGUCUGGCCAUGUACUGACGCUGAGGCGCGAAGGUGCGGGGAGCAAACAGGUUUAGAUACCCUGGUAGUCCGCACAGUAAACGAUGUGCACCAGGCGGCGGGGGCAACCUCGCUGCCGCAGUCAACGCAUUAAGUGCACCGCCUGGGGAGUAUGCCCGCAAGGGUGAAACUCAAAGGAAUUGACGGGGGCCCGCACAAGCGGAGGAACAUGUGGUUUAAUUCGAUGAUACGCGAGGAACCUUACCCGGGCUCGAACGGUGCAUGAAUAUACGAGAGAUUGUAUAGUUCUUCGGGACAUGUAUCGAGGUGCUGCAUGGUUGUCGUCAGCUCGUGCCGUGAGGUGUCGGCUUAAGUGCCAUAACGAGCGCAACCCUUGUCAUUAGUUGCCAUCAGGUCAAGCUGGGGACUUUAAUGAGACUGCCACCGUAAGGUGUGAGGAAGGGGGGGAUGACGUCAAAUCAGCACGGCCCUUAUGUCCGGGGCGACACACGUGUUACAAUGGGAGGUACAGAGGGCAGCUAUCCGGUGACGGAAUGCUAAUCUCCAAAACCUUUCUCAGUUCGGAUUGGAGUCUGCAACUCGACUCCAUGAAGGUGGAUUCGCUAGUAAUCGCGCAUCAGCCAUGGCGCGGUGAAUACGUUCCCGGGCCUUGUACUCACCGCCCGUCA
rnacentral:rRNA from 1 species